AAGAGGGCCAACAUUCCAAGCAAUGUUGUUGCACCAGCCGAUAGCCUGAACCCAAUGAACAGUGCCAGCAUUUAUCCAUACCAAAUCCCCUGGUCUUUGAAUAAAUCGAUAAACUGGGACAUUGGCUUCAUACAAAUCCUCCAAGUUUGGCCACCAAGAUCCCAUUAGGAAAUUCAUAUUGUUCUUUUCACAAAAGUCAUUCAUGACACCCCAAUAGCUUUCAGGGACAACAAACCAUUCACAGUCACCUGGACCAAUAUUUAUAUUUACUGAACAGAAGUUGUUGUUUUCUUGAUGACCUGGUGUUCUGCUUCCUGGAACCUUCAUGUACAACUGCACUGUGUUCAUGCCCAGGAUGGUAUGACCAACAUGGCUUAGAAGAUUUCCUGCUGAUACCACACGUACAAAAGCAGGAAGUUUUGUCAGUUCAUGGAGUUGCAACUUCCACUUUUUGUCAUCUGACAGGUCAAUGUUGGUCCCAAACUUGAUUGUUUUAAAAGGUCCUCUUCUCCUCCUCCCAGAAUUAUCUGAAGAUGUGGAUUCAUUAUCUGAGUGGUCCUUGUGGUGACUCUUUUUUUCGUUUUCC
rnacentral:lncRNA from 1 species